rnacentral:rRNA from 1 species
GACAGAGGGUGCAAACGUUGCUCGGAAUUACUGGGCGUAAAGAGCUCGUAGGCGGUUUGUCGCGUCUGCUGUGAAAACUCAGGGCUUAACCCUGAGCUUGCAGUGGGUACGGGCAGACUAGAGUGCGGUAGGGGAGACUGGAAUUCCUGGUGUAGCGGUGAAAUGCGCAGAUAUCAGGAGGAACACCGGUGGCGAAGGCGGGGUCUCUGGGCCGUAACUGACGCUGGAGGAGCGAAAGCAUGGGGAGCGAACAGG